CCUACGCACAGAAAACUCAACCAGGUGCUCCCAACACAAUGAGACUUAGCAAACUUGUUUGCUUGAUAGGCUAGCAGACGGUAAAACCCAGAAGCUUGGGCGGGAAUGCAUGCCUCUGCCACCCAUGCCGAAGAAAACAGGUUCAGCUCUCGUCUCUCAGGAGAUGGAUGCCAACCAGAACACAUCAAAGAAAAUGUCACGUCAAAUUAGUUUCCACGUGCCCCCUGUAAAUAAGCUAAUAUGACCAUGUACUCAGAGGAGAACAUAUAGCAUAAAGAGUGAUUUGUGAAAAAAGAAGAAAAAAAAAAACAUAGCUGAUGUCCAAGCAAAUCCAUUCACACCAAAGGCAGCAUUUCAGACUUGUAGUUCAUUUCUACUCAAGGCUACAAGAAAAAGAUACCCCAUGUAAUUCAGUAGCCAUUAACACGGUCUAUGUGUCUCUGUGAUUAGGGAAAAUGUUAAGGUAGUAUAGUUCCCACAGACCCCCAGUCCAACCUUCUGUGAGGAUGACCACGGCAUAAGACUUGUUUUAUCUGAAAUGCCACAAGACAUCAACAAUAAAGCAACUGUUGUUAAAGGGACUGCUUGGUGUAAUUAGAUAAUGUGGACACACCCCCAACAGCAGGACCCAGGCAGAAGAGUAUUUUUGGAACAAACCACACUUGGGACAAAGCUGCCAUUUUUACAGCUCAUGUCAUUUACUGCCUUGUAGUGUUAAAUGAGCGUCCUGAAUGUAUCUAAAGCAGUGGACUCCCUUAUGGCUACAUAUUCUCUAUAGUUAUACCUUGUAAUUAGUUUGCAAAGAUAUCUGGAAAUGCAAACAAUUAUUGUGUAUAUAAAAGUGUAUAUAAAAUAUGUUGCAGCUUCCCAAAACAGGGAUGAUUGUAAUGUAUCCUUAUACAUAAAUAAUGGAAACACUUUCCACCACUGCAA